rnacentral:antisense_RNA from 1 species
GGGGUUUCUGUAGCAGUUUCUUUUGCAUAGCAGAGCUCCGACUUUUCCAGCAACAGCGUGUCCCUGGAAGCUACACAAAGUCCUCUUUGAUUGCCUGUGAUCAAAGCCACGAAGGCUCUCCUGCAACAUCUUAGCUUCAGAAAGCCAGGAAAAUCAGAAUGCUGACAGUAUAUUAAUAAUUCCUAAACAUAUUUUUAAGGGUAUCAGAGCCAGGAGGGUGGCUGACUCUGAUGAUAGAACAAGAGCCAGAUAUGCUCCUGCUGCUCCAGUAGAGUGGUCUUCAGGUGAUCGAGAUUCCGAGCUCCCAAACCAAGGCAAGAAUAAGGAAACUGGAACAGGAGGGCAUGGUGGGCUCCAGCCUCCCGUGACAGUGAAACAUUGCCUUAGAAUGACUGUUGUUAAUACAAUUGAGGAAAUAGAACACGUAAUCUUGUGAUUAAGUUAUACACAAUUUGAUUUAAAUUUAGUUCCUGGCAGUUGCUAGGUUUCACUCUGGCAUACUCUCUCAGUGUGGAAGCUGCUGAUUCAGAAAGAGAUGUUCCAAAGCUCAUGUAUUUCCUGGACACAUCCAAGUACUGAAUAAAAUGCUGGUUAAAUAAAUGAGUUAAUUUUCCAAGAAAGACA